rnacentral:rRNA from 1 species
CUUUUAACAAUGGAUCUCUUGGCUCUCGCAUCGAUGAAGAACGCAGCA